rnacentral:rRNA from 1 species
ACCUGCGGAGGGAUCAUUACACAAAUAUGAAGGCGGGCUGGAACCUCUCGGGGUUACAGCCUUGCUGAAUUAUUCACCCUUGUCUUUUGCGUACUUCUUGUUUCCUUGGUGGGUUCGCCCACCACUAGGACAAACAUAAACCUUUUGUAAUUGCAAUCAGCGUCAGUAACAAAUUAAUAAUUACAACUUUCAACAACGGAUCUCUUGGUUCUGGCAUCGAUGAAGAACGCAGCGAAAUGCGAUAAGUAGUGUGAAUUGCAGAAUUCAGUGAAUCAUCGAAUCUUUGAACGCACAUUGCGCCCUUUGGUAUUCCAAAGGGCAUGCCUGUUCGAGCGUCAUUUGUACCCUCAAGCUUUGCUUGGUGUUGGGCGUCUUGUCUCUAGCUUUGCUGGAGACUCGCCUUAAAGUAAUUGGCAGCCGGCCUACUGGUUUCGGAGCGCAGCACAAGUCGCACUCUCUAUCAGCAAAGGUCUAGCAUCCAUUAAGCCUUUUUUCAACUUUGACCUCGGAUCAGGUAGGUUCCCGGUCCC